rnacentral:lncRNA from 1 species
AUCCCGGCGCCCCGGCGGCUGUUCGGUCGGCCACCCUGGAGCAGCUGUACUGGGACCGACUGUGUGUGCUGAGGACCUGGACGGCGCUGGGGAUACCCAACAGAGCGGAUAUUAGGUAGCGGAAGGGGGGAAGAAAGGGGAGAACAACGAACCACGAACGAGUGAAGCUGCUGGAGGAGAGGGGAGAAGGGGAGAGGGGAGAUGGGGGAGUCGUUGGGUGUUUUGCUGGCUGAGUGGCUGGUUGGGUGGUUAGGUGGUUGGGUUAUCUCAUACAACAGUGUGUUCAGCUUGCAGAUGUAUAUUUGAACGUGCCAUUGAACGAUGCCAGUGCUGCUGGGCGGAUGGAUGGAUGGAUGGAUGGAUGGAUGGAUGGAUGUGGAGAGGCCGGGAGCGGGUGGAGGACGGCGGAGGAGCGGGGCGACAUACAGACAUGCACACCUACUACAUGCGUACAUGUGUACAGCCCGGCUCAUUGACCGCCGGUAUCCCGCCAGCCAGAGAUACAGACAUACAUCCCCCCACUACCUCACAAGAGCCCGUCGCCACAAUAAUAACAGGGCAUGGGCUACUCGACGAGCCACAGAAAGUGGCGAAAGUUGCAUAUUAGUCGCUAAUUUAACGGAUAAAUCUUUUUAAGUCUGGUGGGGGCCCCUCCACCCCAUCGCCAACCUAACCUCCACAUUAGGGGUUGGGUAACAGACUCAAUGGAGGGCACCAUAGCUGCUCUGGAUUCCGCACUGAGAGGCAGAAAUAGACUAGCCGCCUGUGCGCCGGGAUUUUAGCUCAGAGAGCGACCAUGGCACUAAAACGCCCAUUCCACUUACGAAGGGAUUGAGCUAAUGGGCCCCGUGGCUGGAGGUAUUACUCCACUGGCUGAUGCCAAGCCCGGAACAUUGCUCUAGCCCUGCCUGGUCUGGUGCGUGCAUGGCCACAUCUAGAGCAUCCCCCGCGCAAGAAGAACAUCCUCCAACGUUUGCAGUGCCUUGCAGCCCAGGAGUGUGCUUGGUGUCGAAACUCCAGCCCCUGGGCGGAUGUUAACUGACGGGACAGUCAAAAUCUCUUUUCCGGAAGAACAGGGUUUCCUCGAGAGGCAAAUUCCAACACCACGCAUUAGGAACUAACGGAUGAACGUCAACAUCUUCAACUGGGGGAAGAUAUGCCAGCGCAGCUGAGGUAGAACGAUUACCCCAAACCAAGGCACCCCGCCUGGGACGUGAACAGACACAUGAGAUUGUACGUCGGGUAAAGGGCAUGCAGGAAAGAGAGUGCAUGACCAAGGCCUAAGGCCGUCGCGUUAAAACUGGCUGGAUUGCGCUUGAACAUGCUCUCGAACGGCUAAU